UCUGGUUUCUCUGCAGAUUGUAUAAAUCUUUUGCCUUUUACAAAAGAUUUCUGUGGAGAGGAACAGUUACAUGA
ensembl:snRNA U5 U5 spliceosomal RNA